UGUGUAGGUGGCAUAGUAAGUGAGAUGUGAAAUCUCCGAGCUCAACUUGGAAACUGCAUUUCAUACUACUAAGCUAGAGUACCGUAGAGGCAAAUGGAAUUCUCAGUGUAAGGGUGAAAUCUGCAGAUAUUGAGAAGAACACCAGUGGCGAGGGCGAUUUGCUGGGCGGAUACUGACGCUGAAACACGAAAGCUAGGGUAGCGAACG
rnacentral:rRNA from 1 species